CAUGCUAGUCGCACGGAUUUAGAUCCGUGGCAGAUAGCUCAGUAACACGUGGCCAAACUACCCUAUGGACCAGAAUAACCUCGGGAAACUGAGGCUAAUGCUGGAUAGUCCUCUACCCCUGGAAUGGAUUGAGGUACAAACGCUCCGGCGCCAUAGGAUGUGGCUGCGGCCGAUUAGGUAGACGGUGGGGUAACGGCCCACCGUGCCAAUAAUCGGUACGGGUUGUGAGAGCAAGAGCCCGGAGACGGAAUCUGAGACAAGAUUCCGGGCCCUACGGGGCGCAGCAGGCGCGAAAACUUUACACUGCACGACAGUGCGAUAAGGGGACUCCGAGUGCGUGGGCAUAGUGCCCUCGCUUUUGUGAACCGUAGGGAGGUUCACGAAUAAGAACUGGGCAAGACCGGUGCCAGCCGCCGCGGUAACACCGGCAGUUCGAGUGAUGACCGAUUUUAUUGGGCCUAAAGCGUCCGUAGCCGGCCAGGCAAGUCUGUUGGGAAAUCUACUCGCUCAACGAGUAGGCGUCCAGCGGAUACUGCUUGGCUCGGGACCGAGAGACUCAAGGGGUACGUCUGGGGUAGGAGUGAAAUCCUGUAAUCCUGGACGGACCGCCGAUGGCGAAAGCACCUUGAGAGAUCGGAUCCGACGGUGAGGGACGAAAGCUGGGGUCACGAACCGGAUUAGAUACCCGGGUAGUCCCAGCUGUAAACGAUGCCAGUUAGGUUUGGCGCGGGCUACGAGCUCGUGCUGUGCCGCAGUGAAGACGAUAAACAGGCCGCCUGGGAAGUACGUCCGCAAGGAUGAAACUUAAAGGGAUUGGCGGGGGAGCACUACAACCGGAGGAGCCUGCGGUUUAAUUGGAUUCAACGCCGGAA
rnacentral:rRNA from 1 species